GCCUGGGUGCCCUGUUCCUUCGUGACUCAUGCAGAUGGUUUUGAAGCCUCCCCUUGAGUUACAGCAAGCACAGCUCAGAUGUAGCCCUGGAGUACGGCAGAGCUUGUUCUCUCUGUUGUCUUUGUUUUCUUGAUGUGGGAAGAGAGAGGAGAGAAAGUCCAAAUAAUGAAUCCGCACAAAAAAAAACAGGCCAUGCUACAAAGUUUUGAAAGAACAGGGAACCUGCUGUCAGAUGAUAGACUGGGAAGCAGAGACAGCUCCAAAAUCAGUGUGUGAAGUUUCUAGGCCCUGUUUGAAGGCAGCAGAUGGAGCUGCCUGCCCUGAUGGUAAACAGCAACUGCCUGGAACCAACAAGCCAAUUGAGCAGCCAGAUCUCAGUGCUGCUUGGGGAACCAUGUUGGAUUGCUUAGAGAAAACUGACAUGAAAUGUCACCUCUUGGACUUUCUGCUUAACUCUACAGAAAUGUUAACAGCUUCACAUUCUCUUCCUUCAACCCAGCCUCUUGUCAGGAGCAGUUCAAGCAUAUGACAUGUCAGUCAUUAUUAUGAUUGCUUCCCUGCACAUGGACACUGCGGAUCUGCCACGGGAGGAAACAAGGAGCAUCAAACUGAAUCCAAAUUGAGCGCCUGAGGAAUGUGUGUGCAAGAGGACACCCACUCUCUCUCACACAUGCACUUAUACCAAUGAUAGCAAGUAUCAGCUCUUCCACAUCUGUGAGCAGUAGCACUGCACAUUGUGAAAAAAAAAUAUGUGCAGAAUUCUCAGGAGGCACCACAUAAAUAAUACAUGUCUAUGUCAGGAUUUUUCACUAUUAUUCUUUAUAUCAAGGUGUAGUAUAUAGUAGAAAUAUGAUUUAUUGUGUUCCUUUCCUGGAAGCGUGUUUCACAAUCUUCAUUUAUUCCAGUGUAUGUGAAACAGGAAGAAAAAAAAAAAAUGUUUUGCAAUGAAAUGUAUUAACAGAUAAGGAAUAUAUGAUAAUUUUACUGAAGUCUGUAGGUCAAAUCCCCAAACAAGUUGUCUUCUCCUAUCCUCAAGGCUGGGAGAAAAAAUGUCUGAAACUAUGUAUUAUAUCCUUAAUAUGUUGUCUGCCCCACUUUGCCCUCCUUAAUGGGGCCAGCCUUUUUGCCUAGGCAAAUUAAGCAUCAAUUUAUGCUCAAAGACUUCCCAGAGACGGCUAGGUGAUUGGAGCUGCAUAUUUUGCUUGUGUCUAGCAGAAAAGCAUAACUGAGCAGAGAAUCCUGUCCAAGUGGCUUGUCACUAUCUCUUGCUUGCAGAACGAAAAAAUGGAGAAUUUUCUGCUUCCACAUUCACAAAAGACAAGUACCAGAACUAUUUCUGGGGGUUAAGAAGUAUUCCUAGAAGGUUGCAUGGGCUCAUUAGCCUCACUCUUCUUUUUCUUCCUGCCCUUUCCCCUGAGAUUUUUCCCAUGUUUUUCAUCCAGGCCUGUCUUUUUCUCUUUUCUGUAUAAGAAGUAGUGCUGGCAUGCUUGUGGUAGAGCAGACUAGUCAUAUCAGUUGAAAGGGCAAGAAAUGUGGUGCAGAGAAGGAACAGAGAGACAUUUCAUUUUUUCUUCCAGCUUCCUUUCCCCAUAUCCUGCUCUUUCAUUUCAAGGAUGAGGACCAAAUAAAUUAUCUUAUGUUCCUGUGAAGCUUUGAGUUGGUACCAUGCUGUGGCAGUGGGACAACAUGCAUGUAACCUUAAUCUGUUUUGAAGAGUUUAGUGUGUCUGUAGUUUACCUGCUCACAAAUUCCCUGCCCCACUUACUGAAAAGUACAGAUUGGUUUUCUGUAGAACUUCUUUUUUUAAUAAAAUAAAAUAAAAUAAAAAACUGAUUACGGGGUUAUUUAUUUAAACAAAAGCUGAAACUGAAUGAAAUUAUGAAACCCCAAACCUGUUCUCAUUGGUAAACAACCUUGGG
ensembl:lncRNA